UAAUUUUGCUCCUCUCACAUAAAAGAAGAAAGCAGAGAAGUCUUGAGUGCGUUUUGUAAACCAAAGAUCAGAAAGAGUAAAACAAAUAACACCUCUGGACUGUCUUGCCAGAAUAAAUUAUUCUGAAUGACUCAAUCGGAAGAAAAUGUACAGGGGGGGAAUGUAACAGAGCCCAGUAAUAUAUGAUUUACAAAAAAGGCACAAUAAAACUCCCACCCUUCAAAAAUAUGUCAACCUCCCCAAAACCCUUAAUCAUGUUGCCUUUUGUUGACAUCAGAAAAUAACUUUUUGGAAUCUAUUCUGUAAUUAGUAUGACAUCACACCGGAAAUCAUUUUUUUUUUUUUAUACCUGUUUUGGUAAUUCCUCAGCCUCUUGUAAAAUGACAUUUAGUGUAUUUUGAGCUUUCAUAAAUGUACAAAAUAUUUACAGUUUUUAACUGAAAUUGGUCAGUUUGUGGGCGGUAAAGAUUUACUGUGUCUGUGUGAAACGCAUACACAAUUUUUGAUUGCUGGCUCAUAUCUGAUAAAUUGUUAGGUCAAGAUGUUCAGAUAUUUAUUUA